UGCGUAGGCGGGUUCUUAAGUCAGGGGUGAAAUCCUGGAGCUCAACUCCAGAACUGCCUUUGAUACUGAGAGUCUUGAGUUCGGGAGAGGUGAGUGGAACUGCGAGUGUAGAGGUGAAAUUCGUAGAUAUUCGCAAGAACACCAGUGGCGAAGGCGGCUCACUGGCCCGAUACUGACGCUGAGGCAAAGACUGGGGAGCAAACA
rnacentral:rRNA from 1 species